GCCGCUCGCCCCCCGCCCGUCCCGGGGACACCCGCCCGCCCCGCCCGGGGGAGACGGCGGGGAGAGGCGAAGCCGUGCCCGGACCUUGGAGCAAAGGGGAGCGGGAGAGCUCGGGCCGAUCCUCGGGGAAGGAGUCGAGGAGGCGCUUGAAGAGGCGGCCCAGGUCGGAGUAGCUGCGGUGCAGGUAGAGGAUGUUGCGGUCCGACCACUCGGUGCGGAUCUCGUAGAACUCCUCCUCGUCGCCCCGCCGGCUGAUGAUGAGCCGCCGGAUGCCGUUCACCCAGCAGCCCCGCACGUACAUGUUCACCAGCGAAGUGCCCUCGAACACGGCCGAGGCCAUCCCGCCGCCGGCGGAGGGCGAAGCGAAGCGCCCCGCCCGCCGCCGCCGAGUUAAGGGGAGGAGGAGGAAGAGGAGGAGGAGGAGGAGGACGGGGGGUGCCACCCGGCGCACCCCCCGGGGCGGGGGAGCGGGGCGGCCCGGCCCCUUCUGCUCCCCCCCUCCCCUCCCGCUGCGGGAGGGCUCAGCCCCGCGGGCGGGCGGCGAGCCGGGGGGGGGGGGGGGAACACUGAACCCCGCAGCCCGACUCCCCUCGGCCCUCCUCCCCGCCCGCCCCUCCGCCCGCAGCUCCCCGGAUCCUCCUCUUCCUUCUCGGGACGGUUUCGCAGACGCCGCAGACAUGACGAGGAAAUUUUUUCCCCUCCCAGUGACCCUAGAAGUUUUUCUCUUUUUUUUUUUUUUUUAAACAACUUCCAGCCCGGCCGCCGAGGAAGGAAGCGGGGGAAUACGCAGCGCACACCGCCUCCGGCUGCUGCGUACCGCGCUGUCAGCGCCCAGCACCGCCCCACGGCAGCCCCGGUGCCGGGGGGGGGAGAGGGAAGACGGCGCCUCCGGGGGCAGGGAGUGCCGCGACGCCGGGGAAGAGCAGGACAAAGAGAGGAAGCUGAGGGGCUCGGGGCCUGCUCAGCCCCCACAUGCCCAGGGGGUGCAGAUGUAUGCGUGGAUGAAGGCGAAGCCGACGACAGCGGGUGGUGUGGUGGGAUGUGCCGCCCGGGAUGGUGCCUCUGUGGGCUCCACUGGGAGCAUCCUGUGGGAGAGGGGCUGGGGGCAUGAAUUCCCGGGCUCCUGCCAUGACCCGGGGAAGGGAAGGCUCUACCUUUAUCAGUAACAUCUUUAUCAGUGACACAGAUGAUGGGAUGGAGUGCCCCUUCAGCAAGUUUGCGGACAACACCAAGUUGAGUAGCGCAGUUGGUAUGACAGCAGCAAGGGACGCUAUUCGAAGGGAUCUGAGGAAGCUCGAAAGGUGGGCCCAAGUGAACCUAAUGAGUUUCUAUAAGGCCAAGUGCACAGUAUUACACCUGGGUUGGGGCCAUCCCAGAUUCCACGGAGUGGAAGAAGAAUUCAUUGAGAGCAGCCCUGCCAAGCGGGACUUGGGGGUUCUGGCCGAUGAAAAAUGAGCCAGCAGUGGGAGCUUGCAGUGCGGAAGGCCAACGGUAUCCUGGGCUGCAUUAGAAGAGGGGUGGCCAGCAGGGCGAGGGAAGGGAUUGUGUCCCUCUGCUCUGCCCUUGUGAAGCUCCAUCCGGAGUACUGUGUGCAGGUCUGCAGCUCCCAGGACAAGAAAGACACAGAGCUGUUGAAGCGGGUCCAAAGAAGGACCAUAAAGAUGAUCAAAGGGUUGGGGCACUUCUCUUAAGAAGAAGGUUUGAGGGAUCUGAGUUUGUUCAGCCUGGGGAAGAGAAGGCUCCAGGGAGACCACAGUGCAGCCUUCUGGUACCUAAAGGGAGUUUAUAAACAGGAGAAGGACCUACUUUUUACAUGGUCUGAUAGUGACAGGACAAGGAGGAACAGUUUGAAAGUAAAAAAGAAGACUUAGGUGAGAUGUUAGUAAGAAAUUCUUUACUCAGAGGUUUGUGAGGCAGUGGCACAGCUGCCCAGAGAAGCUGUGGGUGCCCCAUCCCUGGAGGUGUCCAAGGCCAGGUUGGAUGGGACCCUGGGCAGCCUGAGCUGGUGGGUGGCAACUCUUCUCACAGCAGGGGGUUGGAACUGGGUGGGCUUCGAGGCCCCUUCCAAUCUAAGCCAUUCUAUGAUUGUAUGAUUCCUGCCUGCAGCAUUUUGGGAGGUCGGAGGUCAUUGUCCUCACACGACCUAAUAUCAAAUUUGAGUUGAUUCUGGCCAGCUUGACACCCAUGGUUCAUGAGCCCAGGAAUUCACAUGGUAACAAUGCAGGGGCUGUUUAGCCAUUUGGCAAAAUUGAUGGAAGCCAGAGAUGAAAACACUGGGAAAGAUAUUGACCAAUGAAUGGUGUUUGGUCUUUACGGUGAACCAAUUCCAAACCUACAAGUGCAGUUAUGUCUCACUCUCCCUAUUCAAAUACAUGAUUGCGUAUUUCCUUAACUUCUGUGUCAUAAAAUUGGUCUUCUUUCCACCUGAAGCACAAUCAGAUGUAACGAAUGCACGCAAGGAAGCCCUUCUGGAGGCACACACACACCCUGCAGCCUCACUCUGCAGCACCUGCAGCCAUUUCUUUCUUGAAACCUGAAGCUGUAAAACCAGGACUUGAGAUGUUGAAGCAGAUGCCGGGGAGCUCAGAGCCCCCAGACCGCCCUCACUGUGGCUAGGCUGGGCCUUGAGCUGUCCUACAAAGCCUGACAAAGGGAGCAACCUGGGGCACAGGCUCUCCCUGCGUGCGGUGCAGUGUGUGGCACAGGCCCACCCACUUCACCUUGGCUCACCACAAAAGGGUUUCCACAGCCCCAUUGGCCUUGACAUCCCACGUACGGCGGAUGCGGGCCACUUGGAAUAUGCAAUGCGGCUUUGCAGGAAAGGAACCGCUGCAAACCUUUGUCCCGCAGGAGGAUCUUGACACGGUUCAUUUUGUUCGGGAUGGGCUCUUCUAAGCUCUCCUCUUGUGCCAGCACUAGGUGGUCUCCCCAGCUCUUUUGUGCAAAAACAUGAGAAGAUAAAACGCCCUCUCUUCUGAGAGCUGCCGUGGAAACCUGAAAUAACCACGGAUCUGAAAGAAAACUAAUAGGAAGAGAGCUACAAGGCUUGUUGGAGUUCAAAAUGCAUCUGGACAACACUCUCAGGCAUAUGGUCUUAUUUUUGGGUGGUCCUGUGCAGAGGCAGGAGUUGGAUUCUAAGAUCCUUAUGAGUCCCUCCCAGCUUUGGAUAUUCUACAAUUCUAUGAAGGCCAAGCCCCUUUUUAAAAAGAUGUCGGCCUUGGGUUGCUUCUAACUAUGCACAUGGCUUCUGCUUGCUCCUACUGGCAUUUUUUGCCUUUGCAAUGGAAUGAAUGUUGCCAUCAUCAGCCUGCCCACAAGCAUACGCAGCCCUGCAGACCUCCGAGGCUCCCAGCAGCUCACAGAGCUCUGGCUGCAGCUGGGUUCAAUGGGGCUUUGGCUAGGAGUCCUCUACUUCUGCUGGGUAAUGGCUCAAGCAUGGAAUGGCUGGUUCUGUUUUUCCCUUUCAGUCUGACUGGUGCCACCCUUCCAACUCUAUUAUCAAGCAAAAGCCUGUCACGUUUGCACAUGAAAAAUGAGCUUGCACCAAAAUCCUUCCUUCUAAAGGACUUGAAAUUGACAUAGUGAUACCAGAUCCUGAUUUUUAAGAAUAUGAAAAGUAGACAUAUCCCUAUACUUGGUUCUCACCCCGGGUGGCAGGAUACAUACACCUAUGUCCUCUCAUCUAGCUGCUACACGUAGCAGCGUAAUGCCUGCCUGCCACUAAGCCUGGGCACAACUGCCCUUUGUGAAGGUUGGCUUAGUAAUAACAGCCUGUGACUGCGUGGCUCCGUUAAAGUUUUACUGCAAAAUGCUCACACGCAGGAAAGCAGUGUUUGCAUGGGAACAGCAGCGUGCUGAGGAGGAAGGCAGCCCUUGCAAGAUUUUUUGCACCGUGGAAAAUAAAAUGGACGAGCAGUGAGGAUGGGCAGUCACGAGGGACACAGACAUCUUGCAGAUGAAAGUAUCUUUUAUUAUCAGCACCUUCCAUUGUAGCCGUACCAAUUGUAUCUGCCAUGCACUUUUAAAAGUACAUAGAGGGCAUUCAUUUGCAUCUGACUAGUUUUUCAUAUGUAUGCAGCAUGGGCAGAGGCACUGCGCAGCAGCUGCUCUUUAGCAGAAAAUGGGGAACACGUAUUUGCCUUUUUUAAAAAGAAAGGCUGUUAUGGAAAGACAUUUCACUCCCGUUUGCGUGGAUUGUUGGGUUGCUAUUUUCCAUAUUUAAAUUUGGAGACAGAAGUAAUUAGUGGCAAUUGCACCUGAGAGAGUAAAGAUGCUGGCUGAGUAUGUGUUUUAUCCCCCUGCCUUUUUGUGAUCUUAUUGUUUUACUGGAACCGUAAAAUACCACUGGGAUGCAAGCACUCUCCUAAGCACUUAUUAUCUUCAUUUCUACCCAGGAAUUUUUCAGUCUUGCAUUCAGUUUCACGAACCAGUAAUCCUUCAUUUAAAAUGCAUGCAGAAUACACACCACACGCUGCUCAUCAAGCAAGGUGACCCAGGCCCUCUGAAGAUUGAUCCGGCUACAGAUUCACCCAAGUCUUCCAUUGAUGCAGCAAAACUGCCUGAAUUUGAGUGCCAAAUCAUGGGGUUUAAGAAGCUUAAGAGCAGGUAACUUCCCUUCCUUCUUAUGCUGUGAAUUACUGCUAGAAACACAAGUGAAGAUGAACGAAUCUGUGGUUCUAAACUCACGGUGUGCUGUGACGCCUGCUAACCCUGCCUUUUCAGGCUUCUUUACCCAUGCAGUGGUAAUGUCAGGGAUAUGUGCUUUAUUCUGACAUACAAACAUGCUAUGAAGACUUCUGAAAGCCAUCCCCAGUCAGCCUUCUGGGCUGCAGGUGCACACUGCUAACUCACAUCCAACUUUUUUUUGUCCUCAAGUCCUCCUCCGCAGGGCUGCUCUCAAUGAGUUCUUCUCCCAAGCCAUACGCACCUGGGAUUGCCCCGACUCUCUUCCCUGUGCACAGAUAAGCUAGGAGAUCUGGGUGAAUGCUGCAGCAUGGUGGCACGGAGCAGGAAGAAGGAGCCAGGGGCAGAGAGGGAAGGUGUUUCCUUCAGCUGACACUGCCACCAAAACCCAUGCCUUUGGCACAUCUCCGGAAAUAGUCUGAGAAAGGCAGGAGGAGGAAUAACGCCUUCCUGGGGGGGAAAAGGCUUUCUGGUUGUUCAAGUGUUCCCUUGCUCAAGGAAGCUGACUUUCUAUAUUCUUGUAAAUAAGCAAAAACCGUACCCAGGCUCCUGGCUCCAUUAAUAAUUUCUCUUCCUAACGGGAACAAGCAUUCCGGGUUCAAACAUCUCAGCAAGCUGCUUAACAACUCAAAGAGCAGGAACACUUCCCAGACCUGGAGUCACCAAAGACGUCUUGCCUGGCAAAUCCGUAAAAUUGUUCCUGCUAUGAAAGCAUGGCCUGGCCUCUGCAGCAAAGGAUGAAGUCACAUUUCCAGCCUCACAUCUGUGAGCAGGGGAGAACAGAGCCGAUGCGAAGACAUUCAGCUCAUUUUGCUCUGUUGCCAGUGCAGUACUGGAACAAAUAAAAUACCAUUCCUCUUGCUCAACAGUACCAAAAAUCAUUUGGAAAGGAAGGAGAGCUUUAUCUACUUACAUAUACAGUGAAAAGAAGACAGUGAGCUUUGAAGAGCAGCCCACACCUCUGUAAUACCUGCAAGCAAUGGGGAGCGGGCCGCCUUUUUGUUUUCUCCUACCACGUGCAACUUUCUGCUAAUUGUGUGGGUUUUGUUUGUUUUCUAUUUUAAUGAGCAAUCCAAUGUCAAAACAGCUCUUGAUGUUCUAGUCUUUAGCUCACAUGACAAGAUCAUCUGAGCACCACUGGUGAGAUUAAAUGAGCUCCUGAGCGAAGCAUCCUUUCAUGCUCCUGUGGGGCCAUUGGACUGCGCGGGGCUUGAGCACACAGCCAGAGCACUGCCGGGACUGUGUUCUCACUUUGUUCUCCUCUCUCCCCCAGGCUGCUUCUGUGAAGUACUGAGCCCUCCUGGAGCUAAGGGGACUUUAAGAAGUGCUCAAUAUCCUUCCAGCUUUGGCUACCUCAUAAUAUGGCCUUUAAUGUAUGCACAACCUAUUUUUAGAAUCUAUAACGUGUUUUCUGGGUAAAACACUGCUUGAAAGACCCCCUCCUCUCCCUCUGAGUUGACAUUGAAUUUGAUUUAAUAGAAGAGCCUGAAAUUCUUUCCAUUAAAAAGUGCAUUAUAAAUGCUCAAGGAGCUGUAACUGCAGUUGAAAGCUAGGUAUAUUCCUGCCAAAGGGUAAACUAGCUUCAUCUAAUAGGAGAAUAGUUCUAGUGGAACAAUUUACCCUUUAUGAGUGUUUUUCCUAAAGACAACAUAGGAAGUAUGUCUUCACUGUGCUUCCAGCAGAGCAAAAUAAAUUAAAUACACCUGCAGGUUACUGAAAAAAAAAAACCACUGGCAUUAAAAUAUGCAAGACAAUUUAUCUGCAUUUUCAGACUCUUAGCCUACUGAGUCAACCAAGUGGGCAAUAAAAGUCCACAGUGCUAGGAUUUGGUACAGCUUGUAAUGAUCCCGUGUAUGGCCUAAGACUGCACAUUCGUAUUGCACGUGGAAGAAGAAAGCCUUAAAGUGCUCAGCAAUGACAAGCAUUAUAAUUCUGACUCUGCAGAAGGGGAGACAGAGCCCCAGAGCAGAGAAAGCAGCUUGCCUAAGCCUGCAGAAAGAGGCUGUCUUAGAGGUUGAAAUAUUUGCAGCACUUGGCACAUGGACUUGUAUGCAGCCUUUAAAGAACAUACUGUUUUGCGGGGAGGGGAAAUCACAUUGCAUAUUUCCAUCAGAACUAUAAAUGCAAAAGUGAGCAACCUGCACAUGAAGAGGUUGUGGCUUUUUUUUUAAGUAUCAUGGUGCUCAAAUGUUCUUCUACGCUUUUCCUCUUUACUGUGAGUAAAUAUCAUCCAGCCUAAAAACAGUAGGCUGAGCAUAAUAACUUCAAGCUGGGCAUUUUUUUUUUUGCUACUGUUGUUAGCAACUGGAACAAAUUCUUCCUUUGCUCUCCCUGCACCACCCUAGGAGAAGCAACUGGCUUUGUUUUAGAUGCUGACAACUCUGUCUGUGCCCCAAGUAGCGACGAGUCUCACUGAAAGCAUAUGAGCCAUCCAGCUGAACCACAGUACCCUGCUCUUGAACUUCAUUUUAAGGGCACAUAAUGUUAAGGGCUUAGCUAUGUGAAUAUGGAGUCCUUCAACACCCGCUCAAGGCAAGGAGAAGUACUCAAUGAAAGAAAAACAUACGGAAGUUGCAGCAACAAGAAUGCCGAAUAUGAAAGAAAUGCAGGAUUGGAUCCUGAGCCUGAUGAACAGAACAGGAAGGUUCUCUGCAUCUGAGCAUUUUGGAGUGAUGUCACUACACAAACACAGCUUCAUCAGUGCAAAUCUUCAGGGAGCUCUGACUGCACCACUGUACAGGUAUGUGUCAGCACAAUUAAACACAGGUACCAGUUAAACCCAUGCAGAAGUAGGCAGACAAUCAGAGAUUUACAGCUAAAUGCUUCAGCAGGGGCACAAUUUAAGCUUUCUUUUCCUUCCUAGGAAGACUAGGAAGGAUCUAAGGAAGACACAGGCAUCUGCAUAGAUUAAAAAAAAAAGAUGAAGAUCCUGAUAAGAUCUACAGGGAAUAAGAAAACAGACAAGUCUAUGGCUUCAAAAGCACAGCAGCUUUCUUGUCUCUAUUGCUGCACAGAAAAAUCAAUGCCAGGGCUCUGUCUCCUCCUGUCCUGAAAGGAUGCAAGAAACACAAAGGCAAAACAGCCUAACUAACAGCCAUCUGCUUGGGGGAGCUGUCAGCGGGAUGAUUUGCAAUAUGUGAUGGACUGAAGCAAGCAUGUCCUUCUGGCAGGUGGGGCGGCCAUAGGCUUUUGUUCUUGCCUUGGCUGGGCUCACAACACUACCUUUUUUUGAGCUAGAAGUUGAGCAACUUCUCUCUUCUGAGUGGCUUCUCAGUGGGAACACUGAGUGCCAAAAAAACCAAACACCUGUCUCCAAAGUUGUUAGGAACAUAAGUAUUUUGCAUAUAGCAGCUGAGUCAAACAAGGGAAACUCUUUUGACUUCCUCUCCUCCCCAGCUUUCAUUUGAAAAAAGUGUGUGUGGGGGGAGAGUUUCAACUGCCUCCUAAUUGUUCCUCGCUUCCUGUCAAAAGAUCUGAACUAAAUCCCAGGAAACUUGUCAUUCCCUGUCUGAAGCAGAGUUCAGGAGAACAAUAGAUGGCUAAAAUCAAUGGUUCCACAGCAAAGACUUGUUAAAAUGUAAGUUUGCAUUGCUACUCACUAUUGAAUAGCUCUAUUGGAGCUCCUAAUACACUUCCACUGUAAGUUUUGUUGGUGACUUUCAACACACUAAUAUAUCUUUUAGCUUCUCUGAUGGUUGCUAGGAGGAACUAUCUCCUUCUGAAAAAAAAAAUAAAAUAGGUGGAAUAUAAAGGUCAACAAAGAAAUUUACCAUAGUACAACAUAAAAUCAUGGCAGUCUAGUUUAGUACAGAAAAGCUCAUUUUUUCCUCAAAGCCAUCAUUUCUCAUCUUCAUUUCAAUUUCAAAGACUGAUGAUGCCAUAACGCCUAAGAUGGUGAAACAGAUUGGCCCUUGAGUCAUUAGUUAUUCUUCAUAUCCUUCUCAACGCUAUCUCACUAAUUCAACUUGAUUAGAUUAGCAGUUUCUCUUGGUGUAAGCCCCAAACUUGUUUAUCUUGAAGCACUAAAAGUAGCUUCCCAAAGCCAUAUCUGGUAUCCAAAUGGGUUGUCCUGAUAUUCCCAGAAAAAAGACAACCCUUCCUCACUUCCUGAAGCAAUGACAGAGUUGUCUAGUUAAACAGCAUGGCAGAUGGAGCCUGCGCAGCUUACCCUUCAUGUGUUUGCCGCUGCCAGACAGAAACCCCAUUACAGGACUCAGGGAAAUAAAUAUCAGAAUACAAGACAGGUUCUAUUUUCUAUGAAGUUGCCACUGUCUUGUGCUUGCUUCCCACCACUGUCAACACGAAACUAUUAAAAUGCAUAAUUUAUUGCAGGUUGCUUGAAUAUAUCUGAAAAGAUAAUCUCUGUGAAUGUCUCCCUAUUCAAAUCUUGCACAGAUUUCCUCUAGUAGCAGAAGACAUAAAAGAAGUAGGAGAUUUGAGAAAGAUUUACUUGAGAAGAAUGUCAAGUGUCAUAUCUUAUUUUCCUCUCUCAUUGCUGACGCUCAUUUGAAUCUCCCAUUCAGCACUGGGAACAUCCGAGUUAUCAGCUGUUCCCACUCAUUGAGAAAAUUGAAAGAUAAAUUCUGAAAACAGUGAACAGGAUUGGAGGCCCAAAUCCUGUUUGUCUGGUCUUGAGGCAGAACCAACCACACGUUGAAUUAGUUCUUUGCUCCACAAGAAGGCAUGAAGCAUAGAUAAGGCUGUAUAAGCAUCAAUGGCUUACUUGGAGAGAUCCGAUCCAAUCACGGCACAUCAAGUAGAUUAAGAGGCCAAGUGGAACAUAACAUGCUCUGUCCUGGUGAGAACUGGGAGGCGUGAUGACCAAACUCUGAAGAUCAGACUGCUUAAAAGUAGUAUUUCUGCAUAUGAAUAUCUAGUGCCUACCCACAGGCAACCAAGCUUGACCAAGUCAUACAGCUUAAAAAUGUCAAGAUCUCCAAGGAAAUUCUGUGGAAGGAAACCAAGAAGAAAACUCUUAUUGUCCUAUCGCUACAAGGCUUUCUUUCUUCUUCUGUUAAAGCAAUUCAUUUUGUAAAGACUUAACAAGCUAAAUCUUAAAUUCCCCCCUAAAACAGACUUGGAUCCAAGCUACCCUGAGAAUUAGUUGGUAUAACUGAGAUCAGAAUCCAGACUUCCAUUCUUCUUCAUUCCUUACCAGGCAGUCUCUCCUCUCUUUCAAAAUAAAGUGUAGAUUUCAAUUACAGAAUUAAGACUUCAUCCCUACGUAAGUAAUUAGAAGUACAUUUUUUGCAGUGUUGUUUGCCUCAUUAAAGGCACCAUGGUAUUUCUGAAAGGUAAUGAUGGCUCUUACAACUAAUGAUCAUUUAGAAAUAGAAGUGUUCCUGCAGGAUCAACUUCCUGUACGUGUCUCAGUCUCCCAUGGAGAUCAUUAAUAGAAGCAUCGUCACUGCCUUCCACUUCCCAAGGACAGGAAAGUCCAUUGGAAGGACUCCACCACAGUUAUUAGGCCACAGGUUUCUUUUGCUCAGGAAGGGUGGCCGAGCUCUUAACUCCUUAAAUAAAGAUCCUCAGAAAGCUCAAGGGCUUGUCUCUGAGUUGGAGAGGAAAGCUACUGAGGAACAAGCCCUGGCUUCAGUGGCAGCUGGGAGCUGCCUGGCCAUCAGCAGCACUGCUGAGGAGGUGCCAGGAGUGGUGUUGAGCAGCAGGCUAGGCCGGAGACCCAGCACAGCAGCGAGGAAGGCCAGAAGCAGCCCAGGCUGCACCAACAGCACCUCAGGCAGCAUACUGAGGGCAGUGAUUAUUCCCUUUCUCCUGGCACCACAUUAAGACUAGAACAUAGCGUUCAGUGCUGGCCCUUGGGACAAGGAGGAUGAUCACACAGUACAAGUCCAGGCAACUGGCGCAAUGCCAGCGAGGAGAGGCUGAGGGACCAGGGCUUGCUCAGCUUUGAGAAGAGACAGCUUCAAGGACCUGACACCUGAGAAGAGGCAUAGAAGCUCAGGUUGCCCAGACAGGCUGCACAACCUCUAACCUUGAAGAUUUCAAGGAUGUAGCUGGUCAAAGCCCUGAGCAACCUGGUCUCAUUUUAUGCCUAAUCCUGCUCUAGGAAGGAGGUUGGACUAGAGACCUACCGAGGUCUUUUCUAAUCUAAAUCUUUUUAAGAGAUGCAAGAUAUCUGUGCAAACAAGUUAAAAAAGGACAACUCCUUGUCACAGUAGAUCUGGAAAGAUUUAGGAAGCAGAACUUUUCAGAUUCAAUGAACAGAAUCAAAACCAAACAAUGUCCCUUUUCCUCUAUAUAUUAUACUGAACAUUACAUUAAAAUUUAUUCCAGGUACUAUUAUCUGACAUGUAAACUUUUUUUUCUGACUAGUCAUUUCAGAGAUUAACAAGUUUAGGAUUUAGAAGAAAGAAAUCCCUUCUUUCUCCUGGCAGGUAUCCAUAGCAAAGCAAUUAUUAAAGAUUAACUGCUGCUUAAGCUUCUGAAAUAGGACUUUUGCCGGUUUCUUCCAAGCAAAUCCCUGCUUCCCCACUGUACAAACAUAAAACCAGACUAAAUCCAUUUGUGUCAUCCAGAGAUUCUUAUCCUGUCUACCAUGGCCCAAAUCUGAAUAACUGCCAAAGAAAGAAAAUUCUCUGAUAUAUACCACAGGGAUUGAGAAAUGUAUGACCCUCUGAAUCUCAGCAUAAGUGACUGUACAAGAAACAAAAAAGAAAACAAAAGCAAUCAGGCUACGUAUUUUUUAAGAAGAAUGAAAAGUCAAAAGAAAACAGUGAGUGAGAAUCAUUCCUUCUGGCAUAAGACACAAGUAGGAAGCUUCAUAACACGAAGUCCUGAAAUUUACUUGCUAUAUAAAUUGGUCAAAGGGGUCUGUGGGACCUGAGCCAGGGAAGUGUGCUCCAUGAGGACUUCUAAAGUCCUGUCAACUACAUAAGAAUAGCCACAAAAUGCCUGAAGUGCUUAUUACUGCAUUUUCCAUCAAAGGGCCAGACAAGGUACUGCUUUACAGAAAUGAAAGGAGUCAGAAACCGCUUGCGAGUCAUACAGCUGCAUUAACUCAUUAGACAUUGAAAACCAUGGGCCUGGUUUAAUUCUUCAUAAUGACUAGACUGACGAUGACCAACUUGAGAAAGACGUUCAGGAUCUGGUUCCACAUGAAGAAAAGCUUUAACUAAAGGCCGGGCACAUUUUAGCCUUUUGAUCUAGACAGACAGUCUUUAUGGCAACUUCUAGGGUGAAAAGUAAGAUCUGUGCUGAAAACCUACCUCAUUUCAUGCUUUGAAAUGGUACACUUCUGUUUUCAAAAUAAUUUCCUCUCCUCCUUGGGUAAUGCAUGUCUAAAUAUUCUUUCAUAGGUAUCUGUAUUUUAAAAAGCAUUCCAGAAUGAAUUCUUCUCCCCUGACAGGAAAAAUGCUUUUGGGAAUUUGUAGGAGGAUUAGAAAUUUAACAACAUGCAGAGUAAAAUAUUAAAAUCACAUCAUGCCUUUUAAGAAACCAAACUUUCAAAAAGUGGCAUUUUCAUUUGUUCUGGUCCUUGGAAGUUCUGUGAUGGAAAGCCCUGCCCAUGCAUUUUCUUGCUUUGAAGUCCUAACACAUUUGUAAAAUAGGAAAAAAUUGAAUCUGGAACAUUGGGUCUGUAAUUACAUAUCAUCAUACAAAAUAAGGGGGAAUAAAAAGCACAUGCUUCCUUGAGCUGUAAUGACCAUGCCCAUAAUGGAGAUGGUAAAGCCUCAGGAUAAAAUUCUAGCUUUGCUGAAGUUGACACACAAGAUUUCACCCUCAGAAUUGCCCUCUGAGGACAGGACCCUUUCCUUGUAUUGGUUUAGGUCUGUUAGUUUUAAUGAUGGCCUGCAAUGACAACUCCCACAUACCAAAAGGAAAAAAAAGCCUGGGUGUGCAAAAUCAUUUGCCUCACACAAAGAAGAAACUUUCCUUAAUAACAUGGACAUCAUUAAUAGAUAAUUGAUCUCUGUACUUUCAAGAGCAAAUUUCAAUUCCAGGUAAUAUUUAGCAGCCUGUAAUUACAAUAAGUUGGCAAAGUCUUUAUUUUUAAAGUAACGAAGGGAUAUACGUAUUUUUUUCCUUCAGAGAAAAUAUUUUUCUUCGUAACCAAAAUAAGAAAUUCAUUACAUGUACAAGCUGCUUUCUUUUCAGGUGUGUGUUGUGUGUCUCUAGCAUACUACUCUAGACAGGGAAAGAUAUUCCAGUAACAGAUCUAGUGUUUAUAGUGGGGGAAGAAGGCCACUGAUCACAAAAGGUUGCAUGCAACAAAGAUUAAGAAUAGUAUUUUUCACAUGUCACGAGAUUCUAAGACAUGGAAGAAAGAACUACUAGCAAACAGAAAGUUUAUUUCUCUCCUUUUCUGGAAUGCUUUCAGCAUGAAUUUUUAGGGUUGCUACUAACAGUAAAUGGCAGAUAGAAAAAAAAGAAUAGCAUUUAAAAAGAAAUCUCUGCUCAUUUUUUGCUUGUCUACAAUAAAUGUAUUGCACAAAAAGGAAGACAAACGAAAUCAAAAGAGACUGUUUCUCUUGCAGCAGUAGUAAGCAGGAGAAAAGCAGCAAUCACUCGCGUACCAUCCCAAAACACAAAGUAAUAGCAGCUCUCAACUGCAUUUAAGGGCAAUUUCAUCUUCACUACACCGAUUCACGAAAGGUAAAUGCUUACAUGAAUGGUGCCUUGUUACAGCAUACUGAAUAGGCACACAUAGUGACACACUGAAGAUCGGUGAUCCAGGUCAGGCAUGAUAUGUAUUUACCAGUAAGUUCAAGAGGAAGCACAUUUUAACACCACUGCUAGUCCUAUCAUGUAUAUUUUGUUAACCAUUCAUACCUUGCUUUCAAAUUAUGUUUUGCAUCCUAUCUUUAAGCCUGUAAUUCUGGUUGGAUCAGAUCAUUUAACACAGAUUAUUACCAAGACUUGCCCAGAAGUAACACAGUUUUGGAAAAGCUCUGUUGAUGUGUCUCAGGUCAUUCCUUCCUGCCUCCUCCUCGUUUCUGGUAUAGAUCUAUAACUACAACCCAAGAGUACCCUUUGACAUACGGCAUGUUGUAUAAUAAAGUUCACUGCAGUUGA